GUUUUUAUAGUUGAAUACAACAGUAGUUUUUCAGAUUGCAAGUCUAGGUUAGAACCCUAGUGGAAAUU
rnacentral:tRNA from 1 species